AUGUGGUACGCUCCUAUAAUACCACGGUUGAAACGUUUGUUCCAAAACAAAGAGCAUGCCAAGUUGAUGCGAUGGCACAAAGAAGACCGUAAGAAAGACGAAAAGUUGAGAGUACCCGCUGAUGGAUCACAGUGGAGAAAAAUCGAGAGAAAGUGGAAGGACUUUGCAAAGGACGCAAGGAACGUAUGGUUUGGUUUAAGUGCAGAUGACAUUAAUCCUUUUGGGGAGCAGAACAACAAUCAUAGCACAUGGCCUGUGACUCUAUGUAUCUAUAACCUUCCUCCUUGGUUAUGCAUGAAGCGAAAGUUCAUUAUGAUGCCAGUGCUCAUCCAAGGCCCCAGGCAACCCGGUGUAAUGCCCAGGAUAAAGUUAUACCGGGGACUUGUGAUGAAUUCAAGCCCAGGGUAUAAAGUUAUCCUCGACACGUAG
rnacentral:rRNA from 1 species